rnacentral:rRNA from 1 species
AUUGAACGCUGGCGGCAUGCCUUACACAUGCAAGUCGAACGGCAGCGGACCUUCGGUGCCGGCGAGUGGCGAACGGGUGAGUAAUAUAUCGGAACGUACCUUUCAGUGGGGAGUAACGUAGCGAAAGUUACGCUAAUACCGCAUAUUCUGUGAGCAGGAAAGCAGGGGAUCGCAAGACCUUGCGCUGAUUGAGCGGCCGAUAUCAGAUUAGCUAGUUGGUGAGGUAAAGGCUCACCAAGGCGACGAUCUGUAGCGGGUCGUGAGAGGAUGAUCCGCCACACUGGAACUGAGACACGGUCCAGACUCCUACGGGAGGCAGCAGU